rnacentral:rRNA from 1 species
AUGAACGCUGGCGGCGUGCCUAAUACAUGCUAGUCGAGCGAACAGACGAGGAGCUUGCUCCUCUGACGUUAGCGGCGGACGGGUGAGUAACACGUGGAUAACCUACCUAUAAGACUGGGAUAACUUCGGGAAACCGGAGCUAAUACCGGAUAAUAUAUUGAACCGCAUGGUUCAAUAGUGAAAGACGGUUUUGCUGUCACUUAUAGAUGGAUCCGCGCCGCAUUAGCUAGUUGGUAAGGUAACGGCUUACCAAGGCAACGAUGCGUAGCCGACCUGAGAGGGUGAUCGGCCACGCUGGAACUGAGACACGGUCCAGACUCCUACGGGAGGCAGCAGUAGGGAAUCUUCCGCAAUGGGCGAAAGCCUGACGGAGCAACGCCGCGUGAGUGAUGAAGGUCUUCGGAUCGUAAAACUCUGUUAUUAGGGAAGAACAAAUGUGUAAGUAACUAUGCACGUCUUGACGGUACCUAAUCAGAAAGCCACGGCUAACUACGUG